GAGAGGGUCUCUCGGCCCCCCCAGGACCUGACGUCGGCGCUGACCCGUAAGAUCACGCUGAAGACCCCGCUCAUCUCGUCCCCCAUGGACACCGUCACCGAGUCCGAUAUGGCCAUCGCCAUGGCGGUGAGCUUUUUUUUUGGGGGGGGGGCACCCCGGGAUUUUGGGGGGCUGGGGGGGUGGGUGUGGGGUCAGGGUGUACGUCACGGUAUGGGUUGGGGUGUGGGGUUGGGGGGCUCGCGCCUGUGUGGGGUUGGGGUGCUCACCCCUGUGUUAUUUUGGGGGAUACGGAUUUGGGGUAACCAACACAUCUGGUUUGGGGGGUGCGCAUUUGGGGUGCCCACCCCUAUGUGGGUUUGGGGUGUAGGGUUAGGGUCCCCAUCACAUUAUGGUUUGGGGGUUUGGGGUUGGGGUGCUUGCACCUCUGUGGGGUCAGGGUGCUCACCACUGUGUUAUUUUGGGGGAUACGGAUUUGGGGUAACCAACACAUCUGGUUUGGGGUGCGCAUUUGGGGUGCUCACCCUGUGCAGGUUUGGGGUGUGGGGUCAGGGUGCCCAUCAUGGUAUGGUUUGGGGGUGUGGGGUUGGGGUGCUCGCACCUGUGUGGGGUCGGGGUGCUCGCCCCUGUGUUAUUUUGGGGGAUACAGAUUUGGGGUUACAGCCCAUCUGGUUUGGGGUGCACAUUUGGGGUGCCCACCCCUAUGUGGGUUUGGGGUAUAGGGUAAGGUCCCCAUCACAUUAUGGUUUGGGCGUGUGGGGUUGGGGUGCUUGCACCUGUGUGGGGUUGGGGUACCCACCCCUGUGUUAUUUUCGGGGAUACAGAUUUGGGGUAACCAACACAUCUGGUUUGGGGUGCGCAUUUGGGGUGCCCACCCCUGUGCAGGAUUGGGGUGUGGGGUCGGGGUGCCCAUCACUUUAUGGUUUU
rnacentral:lncRNA from 1 species